CCAGGGGCCCUGCUCAGGGCCACUUAUUUUUUUAAAAUAUAUUUUAU
rfam:Myotis lucifugus cont2.59252, whole genome shotgun sequence.